GGCCUUUUCUUCUGGGGAAUCCCAUGGCCUUCACUGGCUGUGGCGGGGAACCAGGACUUUUACUGUGAAAAAAUUAGAGUGUUCAAAGCAGGCCUUUGCUCGGAUACAUUAGCAUGGAAUAAUAGAAUAGGACGUGCGGUUCUAUUUUGUUGGUUUCUAGGACCGCCGUAAUGAUUAAUAGGGAUAGUCGGGGGCGUCAGUAUUCAGCUGUCAGAGGUGAAAUUCUUGGAUUUGCUGAAGACUAACUACUGCGAAAGCAUUCGCCAAGGAUGUUUUCAUUAAUCAGGGAACGAAAGUUAGGGGAUCGAAGACGAUCAGAUACCGUCGUAGUCUUAACCAUAAACUAUGCCGACUAGGGAUCGGGCGGGGUUUCUAUGGAUGACCC
rnacentral:rRNA from 1 species